CAGCUGCACCUGUGGCACAUGGAAGUUCUCAGGCUAAGGGUCAAAUGAGAGCUGCAGCUGAGGCCUAGGCCAUAGCCACGGCAACACCGGAUCCAAGCCACAUCUGCAAUCUACACCGCAGCUUGUGGCAAUGCUGGGUCCUUAACCCACUGAGCGGGGCCAGGGAUUGGACGUGAGGGUGAUCUGGCUGUGACAUGUCACCCCACUGAUCACCAGGAUUGAGGCCAAGGAUUGAACCUGCAUCCUCACAGAGACAACAUCCGAAUCCUCAUGGAUACUAGCCGGGUUCUUAACCUGCUGAGUCACAAGGGGAACACUUUUAUAUUUUAUAUUGUUGUAUUUACUGAGCAUCUAUGAUGCAGCAGGCCCUAUUCUAGGGGCUGCAAGAUCUGCUUUAAAAAAAAAAAAAUCAGAAUUCCCGUUGUGGCUCAGCAGAAACGAACCUAACUAGCAUCCAUGAGGACGUGGGUUCUAUCCCUGGCUUCACUCAGUGGGUUAAGGAUCCCAUAUUGCCAUGAGCUCUGGUGCAGGUCAUAGACGAAGCUCAGAUCUGGCACUGCUAUGGCUAUAGCGUAGACUGGCAGCUGCAGCCAUGAUUCGACCCCUAGCCUAGGAACUUCCAUAUGCUGCAGGUGUGGCCCUAAAAAGACAAAAAAAUCCAAAUCCCUGCCCUUGUGGAUGGAAGGGGUGGAGGAGAAUAAAUGUGAUAAAUUAAGGGAAUUAUAUAGACUGGUAGAAGGCCUUAAGUGUCAUGGAGGAAUACAGAGCAAAAUAAAGGACUGGGAGAAUGAGCAAUUUCAAACUUAAAUAGGGCAGUCAGGCUGGGCUUCAUUGUGACACCUGAACAAAACAAACUUUUUGAGACCCUGGACGUUUGAGCAAAAAAUUGAAAAGAGGGAGGUGACAGGGAGGUAUGGGUAAGGGCACUGGCCCCUAAUGCACUGGCCAGUUGGAGGAUUGGUAAGUGGGGCAGGGACAGGUGAUGGGGGCACAGAGCCAUGUGGGCCACUGGUGUAAGGCCUGGUUGGCUGUCGCAAGACAUGUUUCCUUGAAAACUCCAUCCUGUCCUUCUUUACUUAUCCCAUCUUCUUGUCUUACUUUAUCCCAUAUUCCUGCUUUGAAAAACAGUCACAGUGCUGGUAAAUGACUUAAGCUGAAGAACAAAGACCUAAAGGCAUAAGUGACUUAACUGUUGUGUGCCUAGAGGUCAGAGUAAGAGCUUAACCCUUUACCACCUAAGUGGCUUUUUAAAUAGUAAAAGAACUUAUAUAAUAGUAAACAAACCCUGUAUCCUCCACCCAUAGCCACUCCUCACUUGAUCUCAUCUAAAGAGCACAAUAAAAGCAGUGUGGAUUCUUGAGGUGCUCUUGGUCCCUGAGACCUUGAGUCCCCCGGGUUCCCACCUCUACUAAAGAUAAAUGUCUCUGUGUCUUGUUUUAUGUUAACUAUUUUUCCUUAAGUUCCACAGCACGCGUUCUUCAGCCCCAUCCUGCUGAGCUGGCCCUGGCAGUUGGCCACCGAAAACUUGGGGGUCUGGCCACCGAAAACCAGGGAGCAUCCAGCAGACAAUGGUGGGGGGUUUCGUGCAGAGGACAGGCAUGAUCUGGGCACAGGUGAAAAAGGUCCCUCUGCCUUGGGGAGGAGGAACAGGGAACCGGUUGGGAGGCUGCUGCAGAAAGCUGGGUGAGCGGGGCCCCUGGCUCAUCUGUCCAGUGGAGAUAAGAGCCUACCUGCCUCUCAGGUUGCGGAGUGAAGACACAGCAACUACUCCCCUCCCCCAGCCCCAUUCACCAGGCCAGGCCUGUGGCAACAAAGAGACAAGAGGCAUCGGGGAGAUCCCGGCUCUGGAGGAUGCCACGGGCACCGAGUUGUUGGAAGAGCUCAUGUUUUCAAGUCCUUAAUACUCUUAAGGUUCUGGAAAGGCCUGAGGAUGAUGUAGGCCCUAGGGAGGAGAUGCCAGGGGUGUAACAGCUCAUUUAGGCAUCUGGAAGCCAGAGAGGAUUCCCCCUCUGCCUCCCACAAGAGGCAGCUGGGCCGGGACCUGCAGUGAUGAUGCUCAAACACUGCCUUGCCAUUUGAGGCCUUCGGCUGUGGCCUGCACACUGCACACAUGCCCUGGGGACAGGGCUGCCCUUAGCCACUUAAGGCCCGUAGGGAGAUAGGGGUGGGGGUACUGGAGCAGGCUUGGGUAGCACUGUGGUCUUACAGACAGCCGCCAGUUCAGUGAUUAUUAGGCUGUACCUUCAAACUUCCAGUUCUUUGUUUACUAAUUAGAAGGACAAAAGCUACACUUGGGUAUGCUGCCACCAAGUGCUGUUUGGUGCCUCUGUCAUCUGCUGUGGUUCCCAAAAUAAAACUUGCAUCACAGAUGAAUCUCAUCAGAGAGAAACAGGAUCCCUCUUAAAACUGUCCUGAGUUUUCCAUGCAGCUCAGUGG
ensembl:lncRNA